AUUGAACGCUGGCGGCAGGCCUAACACAUGCAAGUCGAGCGGAUGAAGGGAGCUUGCUCCUGGAUUCAGCGGCGGUCGGGUGAGUAAUGCCUAGGAAUCUGCCUGGUAGUGGGGGAUAACGUCCGGAAACGGGCGCUAAUACCGCAUACGUCCUGCGGGAGAAAGUGGGGGAUCUUCGGACCUCACGCUAUCAGAUGAGCCUAGGUCGGAUUAGCUAGUUGGUGGGGUAAAGGCCUACCAAGGCGACGAUCCGUAACUGGUCUGAGAGGAUGAUCAGUCACACUGGAACUGAGACACGGUCCAGACUCCUAAGAGAGGCAGCAGUGGGGAAUAUUGGACAAUGGGCGAAAGCCUGAUCCAGCCAUGCCGCGUGUGUGAAGAAGGUCUUCGGAUUGUAAAGCACUUUAAGUUGGGAGGAAGGGCAGUAAGUUAAUACCUCGCUGUUUUGACGUUACCAACAGAAUAAGCACCGGCUAACUUCGUG
rnacentral:rRNA from 1 species